rnacentral:lncRNA from 1 species
CAAAGCAUCAGUGGGGCUCUUCUGUGUGAUUGAAGCUAAAUUGUGUGCUGGGGCAAGCACCCUCGCUUCUUGAGGUUAUGCUGAAAUUUCAUGUACUGCUGCUUCAGAGAGCUGCAGUUUGAGGCUGCUGCCCUGGGAUUUUCUGUUCAUUUCCACAGCAGCAUAGCUGGUAAAUCUGCAGUCAACAGGAAAGUUCCCUGGCAGAAUGCACCUCUCAAUCAAUGUUGGACAGAAGCAUGCCCACCUUUGAAGCUGUAAACAUCCAGGAAGUCCAUCCAGAA